UACGGAGGGGGCAAGCGUUGCUCGGAAUUACUGGGCGUAAAGGGCGCGUAGGCGGGCUUCUAAGUCGGAGGUGAAAUCCCCGGGCUCAACCCGGGAACUGCGUCCGAUACUGGAAGGCUUGAAUCCGGGAGAGGGAUGCGGAAUUCCAGGUGUAGCGGUGAAAUGCGUAGAUAUCUGGAGGAACACCGGUGGCGAAGGCGGCAGCCUGGACCGGCAUUGACGCUGAGGCGCGAAAGCCAGGGGAGCAAACGGG
rnacentral:rRNA from 1 species